AGGUAAGAGCUCACCAGCAGUCUGGUAACAGGCUGGCUCGGUAAACCCCAUCCGGAGCAAGACCGAAUAGGGAAGGGUUAAGGGUGGUCCCGCCUACCUUCCGGGUUGUGUCGCUCGAGCGUGCAGGCGACUGUACGCCUAGAAAGAUAAUCGUCACCGCGCAAGCGGAACAGAACUCGGCUUAUUGAUUGCUUGCUUCC
rnacentral:RNase_P_RNA from 1 species